rnacentral:piRNA from 1 species
UAACCUAGUCCCAUGGCCCCACCA